GUUAAAGUGACUGGGGUUACAAAAAAAGAGCUACGAAACGAGUCCUGUUCCAGUUGUGUUAGCAAGCUGAGGUGCCAGUCUUUGUGUAAACAGUUUUUUUUACCAGUGAGAGAACAAAUAAGCAGUACAUGGUGGGUGAAUUCACACAAGGAGUUCCCAGCCUGUUAGAAACAAACUAAAGCAGCUUGUUGUCUUUAUGUAAGAGAUUCUGAGAAAAGUAACAGAAGCACAUUUUUUGUUGUUGUUGUUUUUUACCUAUUUUAAUCUGCCCCCAUGUUUUUGUUCCCGUGCUGUGUUUUGUGUGCGUGGCCUCUGGCAUUGGCUGGUUUCUUAGUCUGAACUUGUGUAGCCUUUCCUGCUGUUUAUAUAAUAAACUGGCACAGAAUGUGCACCAUCUGAUGCUGUUUUGCGUUUCCAUUCUUGUAUCACAGGGCGAAGCAGGUAAAGUGCUAUUACUAUGCUUGGCUUCCCGGCACAGCGCUCUGUGAAGCCCAUUGUUGGCACCGGCACGCACUCCGUCGAAGGCUCUCGCUCAUUUUGGCAGGCGAACAAUCGGCUGCAUCAAAGGCGAGAGCCACUGUUGGGAAAUGGGUGGGCAAUGAGUGCAUGCUGACCUUACGUGACCCUGGUGCACCCACCCGGCGAGAAGGGCGGCCAUUGUCACCGAGCACAGGGUCCCUCCCUCUGAAGAGCCUGCAUCCCCUGGCUCGGACAAAAAGGAUGUCGCAUGUCAGCACUACUCUGUGGCUCUGGAUUAGACCCACAUGGCCCCGUGACCAGCGUGUCGUCGGUUCACAUCCCACGGUUGUGCCCUGCCUAUAUUAGUACCCCAUGCUUCCAGGACAGGCUCCGGACCACUGUGACCCUGCAAAGAAGAGGCAGUAAUUAAUAAUAGUGCUUUUUAUUUUUCUUUGCAACAUUUCCGGUAUUAAUAUGUGCGCUGUUGAAUAAAAUUAAUCUGACAUGUCUCUGACUCA
rnacentral:lncRNA from 1 species